rnacentral:lncRNA from 1 species
CUGAACUCCUCUUAAACUGCAAUUUUGAAAUGCAGCUAGAGAACAGACACAGGUCAGGUCUUAACCUUCAGGUCUGGUGAGCAAUUAACACUGAUACAGCAAUUUUCAACAGGAAACCUAAAGUAAAGUAAGUGGUGGCAGAGCUCUGACCCUCAGCUGCAACAAAUGAACUAACUCCAGCCUUCAGAGAGAGAACGACUUAUUUUCAGCCUGGACUCUCUUCACUCUACCAGCCUGAAGCUCAUCUGUACAACCACGUGGCAACUGGUGUUGGGGUUCUUGCUUGAGGCUCUUCUACUGCUGAUCAUCUCUCUCUCAGUUUAAGACCAAGAAUGUUGGCUUACCAUAUCCACAAGCUAAACAUGUUCUCACCUAGCCUCGUUUCGCCUGAGGUGCAGGAGGAGAGGGUCAUCUCAGGAGAAAGACAACAAAAAGAAAAGAAGAGAGAUGGACUCCAGAAGCCUGAAGCUCUGGAGCUGCAGUUGGAGGCAGAAAGCGCUCCCUGGCUAACUAAAGGAAGAUGGAGUGCAUGGCGCUACUGUACAUCCCCACAGCCAGUAAAGGAAGAGGUGAUGGAGAGAGAGAAGUAGAGGAAGGGCAAGAGGUUAGAUGCUUCAACCCUGGGUGAAAGAACUUGCUGCAGAAGAUGCCUCAAUGUAGGCAUAGCCUUCAAGAUGGCCUUGCAGAUACGACAGGCCAGAGACAGUCUAUUCAUCCUCUUCACUGUGGUUCUCUCAGUGGACGGUGUGGAGGAGUAAAGGUAAUUCAGGUUCCUCAGGGCUGCUAGGAGCAGUAACGCACUUCCUGCCCUGAUGCUAACACUCAAAGAUGCUUUCAGCUGCUCUUUGCUCUGCCUGACGACAGGAAACCUUUUAAAAGGAAAGCACCAAAUUUAGGGAUGGAGACUUUAAAAUCUACCAACUCAAUAAAAAAGAGAUCACCAAAAGCA